rnacentral:rRNA from 1 species
GACGAACGCUGGCGGCGUGCUUAACACAUGCAAGUCGAACGGAAAGGCCCUGCUUUUGUGGGGUGCUCGAGUGGCGAACGGGUGAGUAACACGUGAGUAACCUGCCCUUGACUUUGGGAUAACUUCAGGAAACUGGGGCUAAUACCGGAUAGGAGCUCCUGCUGCAUGGUGGGGGUUGGAAAGUUUCGGCGGUUGGGGAUGGACUCGCGGCUUAUCAGCUUGUUGGUGGGGUAGUGGCUUACCAAGGCUUUGACGGGUAGCCGGCCUGAGAGGGUGACCGGCCACAUUGGGACUGAGAUACGGCCCAGACCCCUACGGGAGGCAGCAGUGGGGAAUAUUGCACAAGGGGCGGAAGCCUGAUGCAGCAACCCCGGGGGGGGGAUGACGGCCUUCGGGUUGUAAACCGCUUUCGCCGGGGACGAAGGGUGGGUGACGGUAAUGGGUAAAGAAGCCCCGGCUAACUACGU